UACGUAGGCAGCGAGCGUUGUUCGGAGUUACUGGGCGUAAAGAGUGCGUAGGCGGUUUUCUAAGUUUGGUGUGAAAUCUCCCGGCUUAACUGGGAGGGUGCGCCGAAGACUGGAAGGCUAGAGUAUGGGAGAGGUAAGCGGAAUUUCUGGUGUAGCGGUGAAAUGCGUAGAUAUCAGGAGGAACACCUGUGGUGUAGACGGCUUACUGGACCAUAACUGACGCUGAGGCACGAAAGCGUGGGUAGCAAACAGG
rnacentral:rRNA from 1 species